CGUGGGAGCUAUCAUGCAGUCGAGCGGACUGAUGGGAGCUUGCUCCCUGAAGUCAGCGGCGGACGGGUGAGUAACACGUGGGCAACCUGCCCUGUAGACUGGGAUAACACCGAGAAAUCGGUGCUAAUACCGGAUAACUUCCGAGACCUCAUGGUCUUGGGAUAAAAGAUGGCUCCGGCUAUCACUGCAGGAUGGGCCCGCGGCGCAUUAGCUAGUUGGUAAGGUAAUGGCUUACCAAGGCGACGAUGCGUAGCCGACCUGAGAGGGUGAUCGGCCACACUGGGACUGAGACACGGCCCAGACUCCUACGGGAGGCAGCAGUAGGGAAUCUUCCGCAAUGGACGAAAGUCUGACGGAGCAACGCCGCGUGAGUGAUGAAGGAUUUCGGUUCGUAAAGCUCUGUUGUUAGGGAAGAACAAGUGCCGUUCGAAUAGGGCGGCACCUUGACGGUACCUAACCAGAAAGCCACGGCUAACUACGUGCCAGCAGCCGCGGUAAUACGUAGGUGGCAAGCGUUGUCCGGAAUUAUUGGGCGUAAAGCGCGCGCAGGCGGUCUUUUAAGUCUGAUGUGAAAGCCCACGGCUCAACCGUGGAGGGUCAUUGGAAACUGGGAGACUUGAGUACAGAAGAGGAGAGUGGAAUUCCACGUGUAGCGGUGAAAUGCGUAGAUAUGUGGAGGAACACCAGUGGCGAAGGCGACUCUCUGGUCUGUAACUGACGCUGAGGCGCGAAAGCGUGGGGAGCAAACAGGAUUAGAUACCCUGGUAGUCCACGCCGUAAAACGAUGAGUGCUAGGUGUUAGGGGUUUCGAUGCCCUUAGUGCCGAAAGUUAACACAUUAAGCACUCCCGCCUGGGGAGUACGACCGCAAGGUUGAAACUCAAAGGAAAUUGACGGGGGGCCCCGCACAAGCAGGUUGGAGCAUGUGGUUUUAAAUUCGAAGCAACGCCGGAAGAACCUUCGACCACGGUCUUGACAUCCUUUUUGGACCACCCUAGCCAGAUAGGGCAUUUUCCCCUUCGGGGGACAAAGUGACAGGUGGUGCAUGGUUGUCGUCAGCUCGUGUCGUGAGAUGUUGGGUUAAGUCCCGCAACGAGCGCAACCCUUGAUCUUAGUUGCCAGCAUUCAGUUGGGCACUCUAAGGUGACUGCCGGUGACAAACCGGAGGACAGGUGGGGACGACGUCAAAUCAUCAUGCCCCUUAUGACCUGGGCUACACACGUGCUACAAUGGAUGGUACAAA
rnacentral:rRNA from 1 species